UUGCUUUUCAAACAUGCCUCCGAACCAACAAUAUCUAGCAAAUUACCAACCAAACAUUUCAAAAUAAGACUUGGGAAUUACCCAUGAUCGAUAAGAAUUUAAUUUAGGACAUUAUUGAAAAAGUCAACAAAAUUCAACAUCUGGGACCGCUUGGUCCAAACCCGAAAUUCACACAAAAACCGAUUACCCAUUCACCCCCGAGCCCAGAUAUACAAUUGGUUUCGGAAUCCGACCUCAAUUUGAGGUCAAAAUUCCCAAAUUUCAAAAUCCCCAGUUUCUACCCAAAAAUCCCCAAUUCCACCAUGAAAACCUUAGAUUCUAGGUUGAAAUCUUGUAAAAUGAAGUGAAAGAUUGAAAGAAACUAGUUAAGAAUCCCUUAUCUAUGAUUUGGGGAAGAAGUGGUCUUUGAAAAAUCUCCUAGAGGGUUUCUUGUUUUGAAAGUUUUGAAAAAUGAGCAAAAAUCCCUCCUAAGUCAAAUUUUACCAGUUGCAGAUGUCGCAAAUGCGAGAAAUCCAUCGCAUUUGUGAAGAUUCUCACAUUCCUGCCAUCUUCGCAAAUGUGAAGAAAAGUUCGCAAAUGCGAACUAAGCCGGCCGCAAAUGCGAUCCAAUGAUCGCAAAUGCGAAAACUGCCUCCCCCUGUCCCAGUUCGCAAAUGCGAAUGCUGGCCUUCCCAACCACUCUUCGCAAAUGUAAUGAGUGGAUCGCAAAUGCGAACCCAACAGUGGUCGCAAAUGCGAUGCUUGACCUCAUAUUUGCGAGGUCUGAGGCCUGCAACAAAAAUCUGAUGCACCAGUAGUGUUCUAAGUCCCAUAUUCACUCCGUAGCCUAUCCGAGACUCACCCGAGCCCUCGAGGCUCCAAAUCAAACAUGCACACAAGUCUAAAAUCAUCAUACGAACUUGCUCGUGCGAUCAAAUCGCUAAAAUAACACUUAAAACCACAAAUUUAGCACCAAAUCAAAUGAAAUUCUCAAGAACACUUUGAAAUUCCUAUUUUCACUACCGGAUGUCUAAAUCAUGUCAAACCAAUCUUGUUUCUCACCAAAUUUUACAGACAUGUCUUAAAUAUUAUAUUGAACUUGUACUGGGCUCCGAAACUAAAAUACGGACCCGAUACAUACAAGAUCAAACAUUAAUAAUUUCUUAAUGACCAUUAAAUUUUCAGACUUUCAAUUUUCAUCAAAAAUUCAUAAAUCGAGCUAGGGAUCUCCGAAUCUGAUUUCGGGCAUACGCUCAAGUCCCAUAUUUCGAUAUAGGCCCAUCGGUAUUGUCAAAAUAUGAAUCCGAGCCCGUUAUAAAAAAUAUUAACCGGAGUCAACUCAAAUAAAGUUUUUAAGCAAAAAUAUUUAUUUUUAUCAACUUUCCACACAAAAGCUUUCCGGAAACACGCCCGAAUUGCGUACGCAAAUCGAGGAGGUGUAAAAUGAGGUUUUUAAAUGCCUCGGAACCUAGAAUUUGGUUUUAAAUUAUAAGAUGACCUACCGGGUCAUCAUAUUCUCCACCUCUAAAACAACCAUUCGUCCUCAAACGGACAUAGAAAAGUACUUGAGCUGGGAAAAAGGUGGGGAUAUCUACUCCGCAAUCGGACUCGGACUCCCAGGUAGUCGCCUCAACAGGAUGACCUCUCCACUUCACUCGAACUGAAGGAUAACUCUUUGAACUCAACUGACGAACUUGCCGGUCUAGAAUAGCUACCGGCUCCUCCUCGUAGGUCAAAUCCUUGUCCAUCUGGAUAGUGCUAAAGUCUAACACGUGGGAUGGGUCGCCGUGAUACUUUCGAAGCAUGGAUACAUGUAAUACUGGAUGUAUCGCUAAUAAACCAGGUGGCAAUGCAAGUUUGUAAGCCACCUCUCCCACUCGCUCAAGAAUCUCAAAAGGCUCGAUGUAUCUCGGGCUCAACUUUCCCUUCUUUCCAGACCUCAUUACACCCUUCAUGGGUGACACACAGAGCAGCACUCUCUCUCUGACCAUUAAUGCAAUAUCAUGGACCUUACGGUUGGUAUAACUCUUUUGCCUGGACUGAGCUGCGCGAAUUCUAUCCUGAAUGAACUUAACCUUAUCCAAGGCAUCUUGUACUAAAUCUGUACCCAAUAAUCGAGCCUCCCCCGGCUCAAACCAUCCUACCAGCGAUCGACACUGUCUACCAUAUAAAGCCUCAUAGGGAGCCAUCUGAAUGUUUGACUGAUAACUAUUGUUGUAGGCAAACUCCACAAGUGGAAAGAACUGAUCCCAAGAGCCUCCGAAGUCAAUAACACACGCGCGGAGCAUAUCCUCCAAUAUCUGAAUAGUGCGCUCGGACUGUCCAUUUAUCUGAGGAUGAAAUGCUGUGCUCAACUCAACUUGCAUGACCAACUCACGCUGUAAUGCCUUCCAGAAAUGCGAGGUGAAUUGCAUAUCUCGAUCAAAAAUGAUAGACACGGGCACGCCAUGAAGACAAAUGAUCUCAGAGAUAUAAAUCUCUGCCAACCGCUCUGAAGAAUAGGUAACUGCCACAGGAAUGAAAUGCGCUGACUUGGUCACUCUAUCCAUAAUGACCCAAGCUACAUUGAACUUCCUCUGAGUCUAUGGGAGUCUAACAACAAAAUUCAUAGUAAUACGCUCCUGCUUCCACUCAGGAAUCUCUAUCUUUUAAAGCAAACCACCGGGUCUCUAAUGUUUAUACUUUACUUGCUGGUAAUUUAGACACCGAGACACAUAUGUAACUAUAUCUUUCUUCAUCCUCCUCUACCAAUAAUACUGUCGCAAGUCCUGAUACAUCUUGGCGGUGUCCGGAUGAAUAGAAUGUUAGGAAAUGUGGGCCUCUUCUAGAAUCAACUCACGAAUUCCAUUCAUAUUAGGCACAUAAACACGACCCUGCAUCCUCAAAGCCCCAUCAUAUUCGAUAGUAACUUGCUUGGCAUCUCCAUGCCGCACUCUGUCCUUAAGGACAAGCAAAUGAGGGUCAUCAUACUGCAGCUCCCUGAUGCACUCAAACAAUAAAGACCGAGCGACCGUACAAGCUAGAACACGACUAGGCUCAUAAACAUCCAACCUCACGAACUGAUUGGCCAAAGCCUGAACAUCUAAUGCAAGCGGUCUCUCACUGACUGGAAUGUAUGCAAGGUUGCCCAUACUAGCUGACUUCCUACUCAAAGUAUCGGCCACCAGAUUGGCCUUCCCGGGAUUAUACAAGAUGGUGAUAUCAUAGUCUUUCAAUAGCUCUAACCACCUCCUCUGCCUCAAAUUGAGCUCCUUUUGCUUGAACAAAUACUGCAAACUAUGAUGAUCCGUGAACACCUCACACGACACACCAUAAAGAUAGUUCCUUCAAAUCUUCAUCGCAUGAACAAUGGAUACCAACUCUAAGUCGUGAACAUGUUAGUUUCCUCAUGAACCUUCAACUGCCGCGAAGCAUAUGCAAUAACCCUGCUACCCUGAAUCAAUGCCGCACUAAGUCCAAUACGAGAUGCAUCAAAAUAUACUAUAUAAGGCCAUGAUCCUGUAGGCAACACCAACACUGGCGCCGUAGUCAAAGCAGUCUUGAGCUUCUGAAAGUUGCUUCACACUCGUCCGACCAUCUGAACGGGGCACCCUUCUGGGUCAACCUAGUCAACGGGGUUGCUAUAGAUAAGAACCCCUCCACAAACCGACGGUAAUAGCCCGCCAAUCCCAAAACACUCCGGAUCUCUGUAGUUGAUGUGGGUCUAGGACAGUUCUUGACUGCCUCAAUCUUCUUAGGAUCCACUUGAAUACCCUAUGCUAAUACAACGUGACCCUAGAAUGCAACUGAACUCAACCAAAACUCGCAUUUUGAAAGCUUAGCAUAUAACUGGCCGUCUCUCAGAGUCUGAAGAAUGAUCCAAAGAUGUUGCUUAUGCUCCUCUCGACUGCGAGAGUAGAUCAAGAUAAACAAUCACAAAGGAAUCCAGAUAGGUCUUGAACACCUGGCUCAUCAAAUCCAUGAAUACUGUUGGGGCAUUUGUCAGCCCAAAUGACAUCACUAGACACUCAUAAUGCACGUACCGAGUCCGAAAAGCUAUCUUAGGGACAUCAGAUUCCCUUAUCCUCAACUGAUGGCAGCCAAACCUCAAAUCGAUCUUCGAAAACACUUUGGCACCCUGAAGCUAAUCAAAUAAGUCAUCAAUCCUUGGUAGUGGCUACUUCUUCUUGAUGGUGACUUUGUUCAACUGCCGAUAAUCUAUGCACAUACUCAUCGAUCCAUCCUUCUUUACAAAUAAUACGGGCGCACCCCAAAGAGAGACACUAGAUCUAAUGAAGCCCUUAUCAAAUAAGUCUUGCAACUGCUCAUUCAAUUCUUUCAACUCUGGCGGGGCCAUGUUGUAUGGCGGAAUAGAAAUGUGCUGAGUGCCCGGAGCCAAAUCAAUACAGAAGUUAAUAUCCUUGUCGGGUGGCAUCCCCAGCAGGUCUGCAGGAAACACCUUUGGAAACUCACAAACAACUGGCAUAAAAUCCAUAAAAGGAACCUCUGCACUAGAAUCACAGACAUAAGCCAAAUAAGAUAAACACCGGUCACACCUCCUUUCUCUACCCGCGGAAGGGGUAUAAGGGAGUUUUUCCAAUUAAAGUGACAAUGAUCGAAACAUGAUUAUUUAUUGAAAGUUCAGAGUCACCACUUGGGAUAAUUUAUGGUGUCCCAAGUCACUGGUUUAAAAUCCCAAAUCGAGAAAAGUUGACUCUUAUUUAUGGUCUGCGAACAUCGAAAUUCGGGUAAGGAAUUCUGUUAACCCGGAAGAAGGGGUUAGGCAUUAUCGGGUUCCGUGGUUUUAGCACGGUCGCUCAACUGUUAAUAUUGGCAUAUUUAUUCGAUUUUAAAAUAUCUUUGAAACCUAUGUGCAUUUCUAUUCCUUGUAAACCACUUUUAAUAAUCCAAUUGUUAUACAACUAAAUAUUUUGAUUACAUAUUGCGAAUCAUGUCACGGGAGCCGUACCCAUGAUCCACAACAUGUUUAUUUUAUUAACAGGAUUAAAUUGUGGCCGGGUCACAUAAAUGUACCCCCAGAUUUUAGAAAUUAAGCAUCACAAUUACGUCACGGGAACCGUACCCGUAGCUAUGACAAUUUAUUUAAUUAACGUGCCUAAAGCAAACUGCGAAAAGUUCAAGGCAUUUCUACACGAAUUAAGAUAUUGAUGUGAGGGCCAUAGACUUGGUGAUUGGAUGGCGCACCUUAAUUUUAUUAAAGGAAAAGCAUUUAACUAAGUGAAAUUCAUAUUUAAAACUAAUUUGAGAUUAAGUAUCACAACCACGCCAUGGGAAUCAUACCCUUAGUUGUGAUGAUUUAAUUACGUGCCUAAAGCAAACUACGACGUUCAUAGGUUGCAAUUGAACAAUGAAAUACUCUUAAGAGCAGGCAUGAUCGAAUUGCCAGGAAUAUGAACUACAAACUACCUAAAAUUGAAACCAAAAGAGAAAACAUAGAAUUAAGAAGAGAGCACUGUGUUUACAGGAAAACGGCAAAUCAAAUUGGCAAUGACCAUGAGAAUGUCAAAAAAAUGGAUCUUAGUUAAACCCAUAUUUUAAGAAUUUUAAAAAUUUCACCUCUUACCUUUCUCUGAAUAAGAGGUGAAACAACAAAUAUCCAAUAAACUGGCAGAGAAUCAGCAAAUUCAAAUGAGCUACAAUUAUGCUUUUAAUUAUUCAUAGCAGUGAACAAAACUAAAUAUACCAAAUACAGUUAAAUAAAGAAACAGACCUCAAAGAGCGAUAAUUUUCCAAUUAAUGGAAUUUCGAGUUUACAUUUCUAUUCAGUCAAGAAGCAAACGAGAAUCUGAUCAAAGAAUUGAGCAGCGAACAAAGACGCCAACAGGGACACGAAUGUGACGGAACCUCGAACAACAAUUCAGAUCACACCAUUAUCAGUUUCUGCUCAAAGUUUCUGCCGAGUUUGGUGUGUAGAAGAAGAUGAAAAUGGCUGUGUGUAUCUAAGUUCAAAGAAGAAGGAAAGGCUGAAAGGUCCUUGGUUGACGAGGUGGAUAAGCAGCCGCUGGUGGUCUUUUCAGCUCGUUUUCUGGCAAGCUGUCAUCUCUUUUAUCUGUGUGCGUCGCUGUUUUAGGUUGAAAAAGAAAUAUCAGAAGUGAGGGGUCGUCUAAGGGCGACGGAUUCUGUUCUUUUCUAGGAUUUGUGUUGGUUGAAAAAAAUGGCUGGAGAUUUCGACUAUGGCUGCUUGUCCUGAUAAAGAUGAAGACACAUGUCUUUUUGGUUUUUCCUUGGUUUUUAGAUCAUGAGAAACGGUUGUUCUGUGUAGUGUUAUUAGCGCUAAGUCUGUGUAGGUUUUCUAAUUCUCAGAAACGGCUCGUAGGUUAAGGUCCUUUUGGCUAGGGUGUUCUUCGAUGGGGGGG
rnacentral:lncRNA from 1 species